rnacentral:rRNA from 1 species
CCUACGGGAGGCAGCAGUGGGGAAUAUUGCACAAUGGGGGAAACCCUGAUGCAGCGACGCCGCGUGAGUGAAGAAGUAUUUCGGUAUGUAAAGCUCUAUCAGCAGAGAAGAAAAUGACGGUACCUGACUAAGAAGCCCCGGCUAACUACGUGCCAGCAGCCGCGGUAAU